rnacentral:rRNA from 1 species
UACAGGGGGGGCAAGCGUUGUUCGGAAUUACUGGGCGUAAAGGGCUCGUAGGUGGCCAACUAAGUCGGACGUGAAAUCCCUCAGCUUAACUGGGGAACUGCAUCCGAUACUGGAUGGCUUGAGUUUGGGAGAGGGAUGCGGAAUUCCAGGUGUAGCGGUGAAAUGCGUAGAUAUCUGGAGGAACACCGGUGGCGAAGGCGGCAUCCUGGACCAACACUGACACUGAGGAGCGAAAGCCAGGGGAGCAAACAGG